rnacentral:rRNA from 1 species
AGAACGAACGCUGGCGGCAGGCUUAACACAUGCAAGUCGAACGCCCUAGCAAUAGGGAGUGGCAGACGGGUGAGUAACGCGUGGGAAUCUACCCAGUCCUUCGGAACAACACAGGGAAACUUGUGCUAAUACCGGAUACGCCCUACGGGGGAAAGAUUUAUCGGGAUUGGAUGAGCCCGCGUUGGAUUAGCUAGUUGGUGAGGUAACGGCUCACCAAGGCGACGAUCCAUAGCUGGUCUGAGAGGAUGAUCAGCCACACUGGGACUGAGACACGGCCCAGACUCCUACGGGAGGCAGCAGUGGGGAAUAUUGGACAAUGGGCGCAAGCCUGAUCCAGCCAUGCCGCGUGAGUGAUGAAGGCCUUAGGGUUGUAAAGCUCUUUCACCGAUGACGAUAAAUGACGGUAGUCGGAGAAGAAGCCCCGGCUAACUCGUGCCAGCAGCCGC